rnacentral:rRNA from 1 species
CCUACGGGAGGCUGCAGUGGGGAAUAUUGGACAAUGGGCGCAAGCCUGAUCCAGCCACGCCGCGUGAGUGAUGAAGGCCUUCGGGUCGUAAAGCUCUGUGGGGAGGGACGAACCGCUGCCGGUUAAUACCCGGCAGCAUGACGGUACCUCCUUAGCAAGCACCGGCUAACUUCGUGCCAGCAGCCGCGGUAAUACGAAGGGUGCAAACGUUGCUCGGAAUUAUUGGGCGUAAAGCGCACGUAGGCGGCUUAGCAAGUUGGAUGUGAAAUCCCUCGGCUUAACCAAGGAAGUGCAUCCAAAACUGCUGAGCUUGAGUACUUAAGAGGAUCGCGGAAUUCCCGGUGUAGAGGUGAAAUUCGUAGAUAUCGGGAGGAACACCAGUGGCGAAGGCGGCGAUCUGGGAAGAUACUGACGCUGAGGUGCGAAAGCGUGGGGAGCAA